rnacentral:lncRNA from 1 species
GAAUCUGCGAAGUUUAACCCCUUUGUUGUAAUGCUUAGCUACUCUUCAUUGAUAAGCAGCCAAUUUGAGCAAAGCUACCUCUCUGACUUCUUUUAGCAGAUCCAAGUUGGCCUUCAGUCCUUCGUCAUUGUAGAUCUCUUUGAAUUGACUGACCCGAAGACUUGGAGAUCCGAUUUCGACUGGGACUAAGGCAUCAGUACCAUAGGCCAAUCGAAAAGGUGAAUCCCCUGUGGUGGUCCUCGGUGUAGUUCGGUAAGCCCAC